UCAGACGAUGCGUCAUGCAUAUCAAUAAGCGGAGGAAAAGAAACUAACAAGGAUUCCCCUAGUAACGGCGAGUGAAGCGGGAAGAGCUCAAAUUUGAAAUCUUAAAGGGUUUCCCUUUACGAAUUGUAGUUUAAAGAAGUGUUUUCUGUUGAGGUUUUGGUAAAAGUUCUUUGGAAUAGGACAUCAUAGAGGGUGAGAAUCCCGUAUUUGACCUUUACUUUCAACUUUGUGAUACACUUUCAAAGAGUCGGAUUGUUUGGGAAUGCAGUCCAAAAUGGGUGGUAAAUUUCAUCUAAAGCUAAAUAUUGGCGAGAGACCGAUAGCGAACAAGUACCGUGAGGGAAAGAUGAAAAGAACUUUGAAAAGAGAGUUAAACAGUACGUGAAAUUGUCAAAAGGGAAGCGUUUGACACCAGUGUUGUUUUUUCUGAAAAUCAAUUAAAGAACUGUUUAUGCUAAGCUGUUUAGACUUUAUCAGCUAUCUGUUUAGUUUUGAGCUUUUCUUUAAUGCACUUUUCAGUUAACAAGUCAACAUCAAUUUCUUUUGCUGUAAAAAAGCUUGAGGAAGGUGGCUUGAGAUUCGUCUUAAGUGUUUAUAGCCUCUUGCCUAUGCAGUCGGAGAGAUUGAGGUCUGCAGCGUAGAUCCUUCGGGGCUAAAUGCAUUUGUGCUAAGUUAUAGCAUUUUUAUAGACAACUUGUUGACUAUGAUUUGUCUUGUAGCUUACUCGCUUAUGUUAUUUUACCUACGCUUAGGAUGUUGACACACGCGCGUGCUCG
rnacentral:rRNA from 1 species